rnacentral:rRNA from 1 species
CAGGCCUAACACAUGCAAGUCGAGCGGAAACGAGUUAUCUGAACCUUCGGGGAACGAUAACGGCGUCGAGCGGCGGACGGGUGAGUAAUGCCUAGGAAAUUGCCCUGAUGUGGGGGAUAACCAUUGGAAACGAUGGCUAAUACCGCAUAAUGCCUACGGGCCAAAGAGGGGGACCUUCGGGCCUCUCGCGUCAGGAUAUGCCUAGGUGGGAUUAGCUAGUUGGUGAGGUAAUGGCUCACCAAGGCGACGAUCCCUAGCUGGUCUGAGAGGAUGAUCAGCCACACUGGAACUGAGACACGGUCCAGACUCCUACGGGAGGCAGCAGUGGGGAAUAUUGCACAAUGGGCGCAAGCCUGAUGCAGCCAUGCCGCGUGUGUGAAGAAGGCCUUCGGGUUGUAAAGCACUUUCAGUCGUGAGGAAGGUGGUGUAGUUAAUAGCUGCUAUUAUUUGACGUUAGCGACAGAAGAAGCACCGGCUAACUCCGUGCCAGCAGCCGCGGUAAUACGGAGGGUGCGAGCGUUAAUCGGAAUUACUGGGCGUAAAGCGCAUGCAGGUGGUUUGUUAAGUCAGAUGUGAAAGCCCGGGGCUCAACCUCGGAAUAGCAUUUGAAACUGGCAGACUAGAGUACUGUAGAGGGGGGUAGAAUUUCAGGUGUAGCGGUGAAAUGCGUAGAGAUCUGAAGGAAUACCGGUGGCGAAGGCGGCCCCCUGGACAGAUACUGACACUCAGAUGCGAAAGCGUGGGGAGCAAACAGGAUUAGAUACCCUGGUAGUCCACGCCGUAAACGAUGUCUACUUGGAGGUUGUGGCCUUGAGCCGUGGCUUUCGGAGCUAACGCGUUAAGUAGACCGCCUGGGGAGUACGGUCGCAAGAUUAAAACUCAAAUGAAUUGACGGGGGCCCGCACAAGCGGUGGAGCAUGUGGUUUAAUUCGAUGCAACGCGAAGAACCUUACCUACUCUUGACAUCCAGAGAACUUUCCAGAGAUGGAUUGGUGCCUUCGGGAACUCUGAGACAGGUGCUGCAUGGCUGUCGUCAGCUCGUGUUGUGAAAUGUUGGGUUAAGUCCCGCAACGAGCGCAACCCUUAUCCUUGUUUGCCAGCGAGUAAUGUCGGGAACUCCAGGGAGACUGCCGGUGAUAAACCGGAGGAAGGUGGGGACGACGUCAAGUCAUCAUGGCCCUUACGAGUAGGGCUACACACGUGCUACAAUGGCGCAUACAGAGGGCAGCAAGCUAGCGAUAGUGAGCGAAUCCCAAAAAGUGCGUCGUAGUCCGGAUUGGAGUCUGCAACUCGACUCCAUGAAGUCGGAAUCGCUAGUAAUCGUGGAUCAGAAUGCCACGGUGAAUACGUUCCCGGGCCUUGUACACACCGCCCGUCACACCAUGGGAGUGGGCUGCAAAAGAAGUAGGUAGUUUAACCUUCGGGAG